CAGAAACACUGGAAAUUGAAGCCCUCUGUUUACCCACACAAGCAGAAACAGUCAAAGCUUCCUUACCGCGCUACAGAAAUGACCUGAACACUGACCUGAAGGGACCACCCUCUUGAGAGAUGAAAAGUCAUUCAGUCUCCAUGCAAGGUCUGCUCAGGGGAUCU
ensembl:misc_RNA